rnacentral:lncRNA from 1 species
AUGAAGGUGUCGGGCUCUCCYUCACAGCACCUCUCGCACGGCAGCUUCGGAAGCGAAGGGAGCACCCGGCUCUGGGGUUUCCUACGGGAGCGAGAGCGGAGCGCGUUUCGCGCGGGAGCGGAGGGCAGCGCGGCUCGGCACCGCGUCGAGGAGCCGCCGGUGCCCGGCUGGUGGCGGGGCCGCGGGGACCCUGCGCCCGGCGCGGCGCUCCGCGCGUGGGGGCGGCUGCGGAGAGCCGAGGGACGGGAGGGUGAACGGAGGACACGAGCUCUCCCUGUUGUGCCCACUCCUCACCCGGGCUGCGCGGGGCUCUUGCUGCUGGGGGGGGGGACAGACRUGCCCAGAACAGGCAGCAUAAACCCAGGCAGGGGAUCAAAUGCCCUCAUCUCAGUCCAGUGACUUUAACUGGGCAUUUUGAAAUUAGUGAUUUUCUUUGGAAAAUAGCUAACAAAAGGUAGCCAGAGAGAGAACAAGGUCUCACCAAGGGUUUCUGAAUAUCAUCAAUAACCCUUCUUCUAAUUUCCCCUCUCUCCCCAACCUACUGUAUUGUAUUGCCCAGACAUUGACUCCCUCAAAGUAGGAAACCAGUCUGCAAUGGAGUUAAUCAGCGAAUCGUAUGGGAGCACGUUUUAGCCAAGGCACCAAAGCCAGCGUAACCGAUACAGUGCAGGCUAGUCAUUUUUGUUUUUCCCUUUGCUGGCGUUUUAAUGAAAAGGAAGUAGCUGUAACACAAUCCUUUUGGAGAAAUUAACACUUCCCACUAUACCAAGCUAGGCAAGGAACUGAGCUGAGUUUUUGUGAUUAAGAUUAAUUCCAGGUGGGUUAUGUGCAUAGUGCCACAUGUGAACCCAACCAGCCACUUGUACUCAUGAAGAGAACCAGGACUGGACCCAGUUUCCCACCUAGAGUUGUUUAUAGUUUGUCCUACACAUAUUUGACAAUGUCCAUUGUCACUUAAAAAGAGAGAAAUCAGAUGAGCACUUGCACAUGUGAGUGGAAGCUCUGAUUUCUUUGCCUUACUGGCAGAUAAAGCCAAGAGUUGUGCAUCUCAUGGACUCACACUGUCCAGAUUUGCCUGAUUUCUGAGAAAAGAACAUUAGUUUCAUUUUUAUUCCUCUAUCUUUCACACAAAAUCAUGACUUGGAAAAAAAAACAUCAUUUUCAUUAUGCAUUAAAAUACACCUGCAUGCUAUUAUUUGCACCCAUCCCUGUUAUUAAUACCAGAAUUAAUUAGUAGGCUCACCCUCGGGCCCUGGGCAGGGUCAGUGCCACCCAGCGGUGGUCUCGGCCCGGCAGGUGGGAAGGCCCCAGCCUGCAGGAGAGCUCUCAGGGGCGAGGCCAGGGAGUGGAGGGACAACCAGACUGGGCAGCACUGGGCCUUAUGCUCUGGAGAGAAGAA